GAUGAAGAACGCAGCGAAAUGCGAUAAGUAGUGUGAAUUGCAGAAUUCAGUGAAUCAUCGAAUCUUUGAACGCACAUUGCGCCCCUUGGUAUUCCAUGGGGCAUGCCUGUUCGAGCGUCAUUUGUACCUUCAAGCCUUGCUUGGUGUUGGGUGUUUGUCUCGCCUCUGCGCGCAGACUCGCCUCAAAACAAUUGGCAGCCGGCGUAUUGAUUUCGGAGCGCAGUACAUCUCGCGCUUUGCACUCAGAACGACGACGUCCAAAAGUACAUUUUUACACUCUUGACCUCGGAUCAGGUAGGUAUACCCGCUGAACUUAAGCAUAUCAAUAAGCGGAGGA
rnacentral:misc_RNA from 1 species